UACGUAGGGGGCAAGCGUUGUCCGGAUUUAUUGGGCGUAAAGAGCGUGUAGGCGGUCAGGUAGGUCCGUUGUGAAAACUGGAGGCUCAACCUUCAGACGUCGACCGAAACCAUCUGGCUAGAGUCCGGGAGAGGAGAGUGGAAUUCCUGGUGUAGCGGUGAAAUGCGCAGAUAUCAGGAAGAACACCCGUGGCGAAAGCGGCUCUCUGGAACGGUACUGACGCUGAGACGCGAAAGCGUGGGGAGCGAACAGG
rnacentral:rRNA from 1 species